UACGUAGGUGGCAAGCGUUACUCGGAAUCACUAGGCGUAAAGCGCAGGUAGGCGGCUAGACAAGUCUUUUGUGAAAGCUCCUGGCUCAACUGGGAGAGAUCAAGGGAAACUGUCUGGCUAGAGUGUGGUAGAGGAAACUGGAAUUCCCGGUGUAGCGGUGAAAUGCGUAGAUAUCGGGAGGAACAUCAGUGGCGAAGGCGGCUGCCUGGCCCAAUACUGACACUCAGGUGCGACAGCGUGGGGAGCAAACAGG
rnacentral:rRNA from 1 species